rnacentral:rRNA from 1 species
AUUGAACGCUGGCGGCAGGCCUAACACAUGCAAGUCGAGCGAGCGGCGGACGGGUGAGUAAUGUCUGGGAAACUGCCCGAUGGCGGGGGAUAACUACAGGAAACGGUAGCUAAUACUGCAUACCAUCAGAUGUGCGCAGAUGGGAUUAGCUCGUAGGUGGGGUAACGGCUCACCUAGGCGACGAUCCCUAGCUGGUCUGGGAGGAUGACCAGCCACACUGGAACUGAGACGCGGGCCAGACUCCUACGGGAGGCACGGGUGGGGAAUGUUGCACAAUGGGCGCAAGGCUGAUGCGGCCAUGCCGCGUAUGUGGAGGGGGCCAUCGGGUUGUAAGGCACUUUCAGCGGGGAGGCGUUACCCGCAGAAGAAGCACCGGCUAACUCCGUGCCAGCAGCCGCGGUAAUAC